rnacentral:rRNA from 1 species
CCUACUGGGACUGAGACACGGCCCAGACUCCUACGGGAGGCAGCAGUGGGGAAUAUUGGACAAUGGGCGAAAGCCUGAUCCAGCAAUGCCGCGUGAGUGAUGAAGGCCUUAGGGUUGUAAAGCUCUUUUACCCGGGAUGAUAAUGACAGUACCGGGAGAAUAAGCUCCGGCUAAC